CCCAGACUCUUACGGGAGGCAGCAGUGGGGGAUAUUGCUCAAUGGGCGAAAGCCUGAUGCAGCUACGCCGCGUGAGGAAAGACGGUUUUCGGAUUGUAAACCUCUGUCUUCGGUGACGAAACAAAUGACGGUAGCCGAGGAGGAAGCCACGGCUAACUACGUGCCAGCAGCCGCGGUAAUACGUAGGUGGCAAGCGUUGUCCGGAAUUACUGGGUGUAAAGGGAGCGUAGGCGGGAUAGCAAGUCAGCUGUGGGCUUCGUGGGCUUGCUCCGUGUCGUGCGGUUGNUUCUGCUUUUCUUGUGUGGUGUUGUGGCCGGCGGCCUUCCGUGUGUGGCGGUGUUUUGCGUNGNUUUUCGGUGGAACGCCUGUGGCGCCGGCGGCCUGCUGGGCUCUNNCUGNCGCUGNGGCUCGGGGGUGUGGGGNGCUCCCUUAAAGGGGUGCCCUGGUAGUCCCCACUGUAAACGAUGAUUGAUAGGUGUGGGGGGGUCUGACCCCUUUCCGUGCCGGAGUAAACGCCAAUAAGCAAUCCACCGGGGGAGUACGGCCGCAAGGUUGAAACUCAAAGGAAUUGACGGGGGCCCGCACAAGCAGUGGAUUAUGUGGUUUAAUUAGAAGCAACGCGAAGAACCUUACCAGGUCUUGACAUCCAACUAACGAGAUAGAGAUAUGUCAGGUGCCCUUCGGGGAAAGUUGAGACAGGUGGUGCAUGGUUGUCGUCAGCUCGUGUCGUGAGAUGUUGGGUUAAGUCCCGCAACGAGCGCAACCCCUGCCAUUAGUUGCUACGCAAGAGCACUCUAAUGGGACCGCUACCGACAAGGUGGAGGAAGGUGGGGACGACGUCAAAUCAUCAUGCCCCUUAUGACCUGGGCUACACACGUAAUACAAUGGCCGUUAACAACAGGAAGCAAUGCCGCGAGGCGGGGCAAAACCUCAAAAACGGUCUCAGUUCGGAUCGCAGGCUGCAACCCGCCUGCGUGAAGUUGGAAUUGCUAGUAAUCGCGAAUCAGCAUGUCGCGGUGAAUACGUUCCCGGGCCUUGCACACACCGCCCGUCA
rnacentral:rRNA from 1 species